AUUGAACGCUGGCGGCAUGCUUUACACAUGCAAGUCGGACGCAGCACAGAGAAGCUUGCUUCUUGGUGGCGAGUGGCGAACGGGUGAGUAAUAUAUCGGAACGUACCGAGUAAUGGGGGAUAACUAAUCGAAAGAUUAGCUAAUACCGCAUAUUCUCUGAGGAGGAAAGCAGGGGACUUCGGGCCUUGCGUUAUUGAGCGGCCGAUAUCUGAUUAGCUAGUUGGUGGGGUAAAGGCCUACCAAGGCGACGAUCAGUAGCGGGUCUGAGAGGAUGAUCCGCCACACUGGGACUGAGACACGGCCCAGACUCCUACGGGAGGCAGCAGUGGGGAAUUUUGGACAAUGGGCGCAAGCCUGAUCCAGCCAUGCCGCGUGUUGAAGAAGGCCUUCGGGUUGUAAAGGACUUUUGUCAGGGAAGAAAAGGCUGUUGCUAAUACCGACAGCUGAUGACGUACCUGAGAUAACACCGC
rnacentral:rRNA from 1 species